GACGAACGCUGGCGGCGUGCUUAACACAUGCAAGUCGAACGAUGAAGCCGGAGCUUGCUCUGGUGAAUUAGUGGCGAACGGGUGAGUAAAACGUGAGUAACCUGCUCUUGACUCUGGGAUAACUGCGGGAAAACGUAGCUAAUACCGGAUACGACCCUCGGAGGCUUCUCCUGGGGGUGGAAAGACUUUCAGUCAAGGAUGGACUUGCGGCCUAUCAGCUAGUUGGUGAGGGAAAGGCUCACAAAGGGGAAGACGGGUAGCCGGCCUGAGAGGGUGAACGACCACACUGGGACUAAGACAAGGCCCAGACUCCUAAGGGAGGCAGCAGUGGGGAAUAUUGCACAAUGGGCGCAAGCCUGAUGCAGCAACGCCGCGUGAGGGAUGACGGCCUUCGGGUUGUAAACCUCUUUUAGCAGGGAAGAAGCGAAAGUGACGGUACCUGCAGAAAAAGCACCGGCUAACUACGUGCCAGCCGCCGCGGUAA
rnacentral:rRNA from 1 species